rnacentral:rRNA from 1 species
ACGUACACUCCUACGGGAGGCAGCAGUGGGGAAUAUUGGACAAUGGGCGCAAGCCUGAUCCAGCCAUGCCGCGUGAGUGAUGAAGGCCCUAGGGUUGUAAAGCUCUUUCACCGGUGAAGAUAAUGACGGUAACCGGAGAAGAAGCCCCGGCUAACUUCGUGCCAGCAGCCGCGGUAAUACGAAGGGGGCUAGCGUUGUUCGGAUUUACUGGGCGUAAAGCGCACGUAGGCGGACUAUUAAGUCAGGGGUGAAAUCCCGGGGCUCAACCCCGGAACUGCCUUUGAUACUGGUAGUCUUGAGUGCGAGAGAGGUGAGUGGAAUUCCGAGUGUAGAGGUGAAAUUCGUAGAUAUUCGGAGGAACACCAGUGGCGAAGGCGGCUCACUGGCUCGAUACUGACGCUGAGGUGCGAAAGCGUGGGGAGCAAACAGGAUUAGAAACCCUGGUAGUCCCA